rnacentral:lncRNA from 1 species
UUCUUUCCCAAUACCACUAUAUGGCAGACUCCAGGUGUUUAAAUAUUUUUUUUUAAAGUUGGUGAGGAUUUUAAAUAUAUAUAUAUGUGUGUGUGUCAGUGUGUGUGUGUGUGUGUGUGUAUAUAUUUAAAAGUAAAAGAAGAUAAUAAAAUGGCCUUAAUUCUGAGGAUUUAUUUAAAAAGAAUUGUAAGAGAAAGAAUUGGCAAAUCUUCUCCAUAACCCACCAUCAAAGAGAGAUCCAGAAUAUAGUAUAAUGUAACAUAAAAACCGGUGCUAUUCCACUCAGGAAGCAAAGAGCAUAACUAUGACAACCAUUGUGAUGAAAGUCAUGGUCAUGGAGAAGUCAAGCGACCUGGGAAGAGAAUUGGCCAUGGCUCCCCAGGUGAGGAGGAGACAGAAAUGAAGCUGGGAGACUUACACCCUUCACCCUCAUUCAUGGAACCAAGCUCAAGCCUCCCUCCCCUGCUCGCAGUAUAAAUUGAACAGAGAAGUAUCAAUAAGUAUCCAACUGCAGGGCUUAAGGAGGAAUAUUUUGGGAUGUUUCAAGAUGCAGAAAAGGAUCCAAACAUCAGUUCUCAAAUGAACAAUGAGACACAGCUACCAUUUGUUGAGACCCCUUCUGUGCCAAGCUCUAAAUGCCCUUCUGCUGUCACGUCACCUAAUUCUCACCAUCGAAGUGGAUUUGGGGAUGGUCUUCAUCCUAUUUUAUACAUAGAACUAUGAAGCUCAGAGACCUGCAGUAAGUAGUCCAAGACCUUAGUGUAGAGCCAGGAUU